AGCGAACGCUGGCGGCAGGCCUAACACAUGCAAGUCGAACGGAUCCUUCGGGAUUAGUGGCGGACGGGUGAGUAACACGUGGGAACGUGCCCUUUGGUUCGGAACAACUCAGGGAAACUUGAGCUAAUACCGGGAUAAGCCCUUCGGGGGAAGGAUUAUCGCCAUUGGAGCGGCCCGCGUCUGAUUAGCUAGUUGGUGAGGUAAAGGCUCACCAACGGCUACGAUCAGUAGCUGGUCUGAGAGGAUGAUCAGCCACAUUGGGAC
rnacentral:rRNA from 1 species